GAUGAACGCUGGCGGCGUGCUUAACACAUGCAAGUCGAGCGAGAUUAUUCUUCGGAAUAGUCUAGCGGCGGACGGGUGAGUAACACGUGGGCAACCUGCCUUGUAGAGGGGGAUAGCCUUCCGAAAGGAAGAUUAAUACCGCAUAAUGUUAUUGAAAGGCAUCUUUCGAUACUCAAAGGAGCAAUCCGCUACAAGAUGGGCACGCGGCGCAUUCGCUAGUUGGUUAGGUAACGGCUCAGCAAGGCGAAGAUGCGUAGCCGACAUGAGGGGGUGAUCGGCCACAUUGGGACUGAGACACGGCCCAGACUCCGACGAGAGGCAGCAGUGGGGAAUAUUGCACAAUGGGGGAAACCCUGAUGCAGCAACGCCGCGUGAGUGAUGACGGCCUUCGGGUUGUAAAGCUCUGUCUUUGGGGACGAUAAUGACGGUACCCAAGGAGGAAGUCACGGCUAACUACGUGCCAGCAGCCGCCGUAA
rnacentral:rRNA from 1 species